GACCUUCAGGGUUGCAUCAGGAGAGUGGCCCGGAUUCUGCCAGGUGUGGAGGUGAGAAGGAAAAAAAGCCUGGGAAAGGUACCUAUUCCAUUCCCAGCUUGCUCAGUUGCUGAUGAAUGGAAGACAUUCUGCCAUAGUG
rnacentral:snoRNA from 1 species